rnacentral:rRNA from 1 species
GGAAUUUUGGACAAUGGGCGCAAGCCUGAUCCAGCAAUGCCGCGUGAGUGAAGAAGGCCUUCGGGUUGUAAAGCUCUUUUGUCAGGGAAGAAACGGGUCUUUCUAAUACAGAGGCCUAAUGACGGUACCUGAAGAAUAAGCACCGGCUAACUACGUGCCAGCAGCCGCGGUAAUACGUAGGGUGCAAGCGUUAAUCGGAAUUACUGGGCGUAAAGCGUGCGCAGGCGGUUUUGUAAGACUGUCGUGAAAUCCCCGGGCUCAACCUGGGAAUGGCGAUGGUGACUGCAAGGCUAGAGUUUGGCAGAGGGGGGUAGAAUUCCACGUGUAGCAGUGAAAUGCGUAGAUAUGUGGAGGAACACCGAUGGCGAAGGCAGCCCCCUGGGUCAAAACUGACGCUCAUGCACGAAAGCGUGGGGAGCAAACAGGAUUAGAUACCCUUG